CGGGAAGUAGCUCAGUUUGGUAGAGCACUUGGUUUGGGACCAAGGGGUCGCAGGUUCGAAUCCUCUCUUCCCGA
rnacentral:tRNA from 1 species